CAUGACUGUGAACUGUGAUGUUUGAUGUGUGUUGGCUCUGCUGCGCGCAGUAAUAAAUAGCUUGAUCACAGCUCUUUCUGUGUUGCAGACUUUAUUUACAAACUUCCAUGAUACCCCCCACCCUCCCACUGGGAACAUGAAUUGAAUAUUCAGAAGACAUUUGUUUAAAUACUUCUAGAAAUCUGAGCUGUUGGUGUGUCCUUGGAUUGGUGGUAAUAAUAUUAGAGCUGGCAAUCUUUCUUACUGAAUCUCUACUAACAGUUCUCCACAGUCGCUGUCCACAUGGGUCAGUGGGACCAAGCAGCACUCUGCUAAUGUGGGACUCUGACCAGCAACAUCCAGCAAGACCCAGACAGCGUUUUCUAUCUCCCAGCUGGAGUUUUUUUGUUUGUGACGGGAGAGUCAGAUUUUUGUUGAAGCUGGAGGAACAGCCUCACACUUGCAGAGGUUACAUGCUACUGAUCCCUGAUGGGAGAAUCAUCACCUCUGCCAACAAAGAAGCCUGGUGGAUGUUUGUUUACAGACUGAUGAUGGGACAUCAUGCUCUGCAUCUUCAAAGUUUGUCUCUUGAUUAUUAUUCAUACACAGUAAUGUGAAGUAUGCUUAUAUCUAGUAUAACUGGACCAACCUGGUGCUCUUCAUUUAUGGAGGCUGUUGAGUCUGAAUGUUGGAUGUUGUGUAUCUCGUGUUCUCUGGGCUUUGUUGUCCUCAGUCUUUUUGCAGGAUCAGAAAACAAAACCAGGAGACCUGUAAAUGUUUCUUCUCCAAUUGGAUGAUGAUAAGACUGUGACACGGGAUGCCACCUUUAGUCUUGUGAUGAAGCAAAGCUCAGGAAGAAGUGUGAUUAAAUGGUACCCACAUGUGUGCUGCUGAGAAGGAUGUACAGGGGCACCUGCAGCCAAAUCCAAGCCUCCUCAGCAACUUCAGGUCUGUCAGCGUGCUGAGGUCACAGAAACAAGAAAAGCAGCUUCAGACUUCAGAGUGUUGUUUACAGUUUUCUGUCAUCAUGAUCUCCCCUGAAGUUUAUCAAGCAAUGGUGACGGUGUGGAGAGACGGUGGUGUUUCCUCAGAAGAACCAGCAGAGUCACAAAGGGCACGAGUCCAUCUCACCACCUUGACUUGCUGACUGAUGCUCGUCUGCACUGCACAGAGGAAAUCAACUGACCGAGGUAAAUCUCCAGUUUCUGAGUGAGGGAGAGAGGAGUCAUCAUCCAGGUAAAGUGACGUGGAUCAGUGGAUACACUUGUCUCCCCUUUAAAGGAGAUACUCUUAGAGAGAGACGAUCUGAGUCAUCAUAAAAUAUGGGAAGGAUAUCACUAUUAGACUGUCUAACCUGCCGGAGCAGCACUGAAUGAUCACCACACAUGACCAUGUUCCUGCAACAUUCAGCAUCUGAUCUGCCAUCUGUGUGCUUCUGCUUUUGUGUCAAAUGUCAAACAGCUGGAGAGGAAACUACACCAGUGUACUGGGAUGUUUCACCAACACGUGCCAGACGCUGUAACUUCAUGGUGACAUCACCAGAGACAGCCCUGCCCACCUCAGGACCUCGCCAUUGAUCAUGAUGAUUAUAAUAAUGACAGCGAGCGGAACUAAGACUGUAAAAAUCAACAACCAGAAUGUUUAGAUGCUUUCUAAUUAUUAAUGAAUACUGAGAGCCUCUUUCUGUGUUUUGUCUGUUUUGGGUUGUUUUGUUUUUUACCUCAUUUGUUACUAACAAAGUUCAACAAACUCACACAGUUUACAUUCUGUAUGUUUCCAUCUUUACCAGCCACAGUCUACCUGCAUUUAGAAAACAAACCUUAGAAAUUGUCGUUUUUCUCUUUUGUAAUUGAUGAUAAUUCAGUGAAUAUACUGCGCUGCUUCCUUUUAUUGCGUCAAACAUUGCUUUAAGUUUUUCAGUGUUCAGUUAUUUUUUACUGCUGUUUGAAUUCUCUGCAUGUUUGACCCUGUAGACUGUUUAAUGGACUGCUUGUCUUGUAACCGCCGCCUGUUUUUGACUAAAGAUUUGGA